rnacentral:rRNA from 1 species
UACGGGGGGGGCAAGCGUUGUUCGGAAUUACUGGGCGUAAAGGGUUCGUAGGUGGCUCGCUAAGCCAGACGUGAAAUCCCUCAGCUUAACUGGGGAACUGCGUCUGGGACUGGAGAGCUGGAGUGCAGGAGAGGAACGCGGAAUUCCAGGUGUAGCGGUGAAAUGCGUAGAUGUCUGGAGGAACACCGGUGGCGAAGGCGGCGUUCUGGACUGCAACUGACACUGAGGCGCGAAAGCUAGGGGAGCAAACGGG